rnacentral:rRNA from 1 species
UAGAAGAUGCUUCGGGUGUGGUUCCGGUCUAAGUUCCUUGGAACAGGACGUCAUAGAGGGUGAGAAUCCCGUAUGUGACUGGAUACCUAUGCUCAUGUGAAGCUCUUUCGAC